rnacentral:rRNA from 1 species
AGCGGUGAAAUGCGUAGAGAUCUGGGAGGAAUACCGAUGGCGAAGGCAGCCAUCUGGCCUAAUACUGACGAUGAGGUACGAAAGCAUGGGGAGCAAACAGGAUUAGAUACCCUGGUAGUCCAUGCCGUAAACGAUGUCUACUAGCCGUUGGGGCCUUUGAGGCUUUAGUGGCGCAGCUAACGCGAUAAGUAGACCGCCUGGGGAGUACGGUCGCAAGACUAAAACUCAAAUGAAUUGACGGGGGCCCGCACAAGCGGUGGAGCAUGUGGUUUAAUUCGAUGCAACGCGAAGAACCUUACCUGGCCUUGACAUACUAAGAACUUUCCAGAGAUGGAUUGGUGCCUUCGGGAACUUAGAUACAGGUGCUGCAUGGCUGUCGUCAGCUCGUGUCGUGAGAUGUUGGGUUAAGUCCCGCAACGAGCGCAACCCUUUUCCUUAUUUGCCAGCGGGUAAUGCCGGGAACUUUAAGGAUACUGCCAGUGACAAACUGGAGGAAGGCGGGGACGACGUCAAGUCAUCAUGGCCCUUACGGCCAGGGCUACACACGUGCUACAAUGGUCGGUACAAAGGGUUGCUACCUCGCGAGAGGAUGCUAAUCUCAAAAAGCCGAUCGUAGUCCGGAUCGCAGUCUGCAACUCGACUGCGUGAAGUCGGAAUCGCUAGUAAUCGCGGAUCAGAAUGCCGCGGUGAAUACGUUCCCGGGCCUUGUA